AGGUGCUGGUGCUGGGAGCUCAGAGCGGUCAGUUCCUGCCAGCCUCCCUCGGUUUUGACCAGGGGAGGGUGUAGCUGAGACUUGGUAGAGGGAAACAUUGUAUACUUCAGGGCAGACAACAAGGAACUGAGAGGUGAGGGUACUGGCUCAAUUGUGCAGGUGGACCUGUGCCUACACAAACAAGGAAAAGAUUCAAAACAGAAAAAGAAGGCAACUGGAAACCUGAGAGCAUGGAGCUCGGUGACCUGAGGCAUUGUGUGGAUGUCUCAUCAUGAGUCCCAGAAAGUUCGCUAAAAUGAUUUAAAGCAGGAUGGAGAGGAGGUAGGAGACUGGGGUAAGGGAGGCUGAGGAUGAACGUCAGACACUAUUCCUCUCUCUCUCUUCUUCUUCUUCUUCUUCUUUUCUUCUUCUUCUUCUUCUUUUUUUUUUUUUUUUUUUUUUUGGUUUUUCAAGACAGGGUUUCUCUGUGUAGCCCUGGCUGUCCUGGCACUCACUUUGUAGACCAGACUGGCCUGGAACUCAGAAAUCCACCUGCCUCUGCCUCCCGAGUGCUGGGAUUAAAGGCGUGUGCCACCAUGCACGGCUCUCUGUCUCUUUCUUAAAGGACUACUUACUUUAUGUAUAUGAGUACAGUGUCACUGUCUUCAGACACACCAGAAAAGGGCAUUAGACCUCAUUACAGAUGGUUGUGAGCCACCAAAUGAUUGCUGGGAAUUGAACUCAGGACCUCUGGAAGAGCAGUCAGUGCUCUUAACCGCUGAGCCAUCUCUCCAGCCCUCAGGCACUUUUUCAAUGCUUAGUAUUAUGUAAGGAGAUAGAUCCAGAGAAACUUGGUGACUUGCCUAUGGUCAUUGCUAGCUUUCCAUUACCUUAACCUGAGAUAAUUAACCUCUGGAGAGCAGGUUUAUCUUCCUUCAAUGUUUCUGGGUACUCUAUUGUUGGGAGAAGCAAUCUAUAAAUAUUGGUUACCCCCUGUUGGUUGAAGGUACUGGAUUUUUGGUUCCUUACUGAUUUUCAUUUAAUUGUUCAAAUCAGGUGCUGAGAGGUGAGUGGUGACUUAUGACCUCAGAGAAAACUGGUUUGAAGCUGAGCUCUCCUAGUCAGCAGAACUGAAAAAUAACUUCUAGUAAGGUGGACAAAGUGAUGACCAGC
rnacentral:lncRNA from 1 species